GUGCUUGCUUCAGCAGCACAUAUACUAAAAUUGGAAUGAUACAGAGAUGAUUAGCAUGGCCCCUGCAUAAAAGGAUGACACACAAAUUCAUGAAGUGUUCCAUAUUUUA
rnacentral:snRNA from 1 species